rnacentral:lncRNA from 1 species
GUAUCUUACAAUUCAAGUUCUCGAAGAUCUACAACACAACCACUCUCUCAUCGGCUUGUACCUGAUGAAGCACUAGUCGGGUCAUACCUGACUAAUGAAGCCGGGAGUGGAUCCGUUCCUAACAACAAGUGGGUCCCUCAACCAUAAGUGCGCUUGCUAAAGGCUAUAGUGCCAGGUUGAAUACGAGACCAAGGAGAAAUUAUUGUGUUAGUUAGCUAAUGCCCAAUUAGCGAAGCCGUGAGGUCCGACAUCCGACAGCAUACUUGUCCAAGCACCAACUAUCCCGAUAGGGUCCGUAAGCUACAGAGCCAUAACAUUUGGCAAAACAAAUAUGGUGUUCAGCA